rnacentral:rRNA from 1 species
GACGAACGCUGGCGGCGUGCUUAACACAUGCGAGUCGAACGGACAGGCCCUGCUUUUGUGGGGUGCUCGAGUGGCGAACGGGUGAGUAACACGUGAGUAACCUGCCCUUGACUUUGGGAUAACUUCAGGAAACUGGGGCUAAUACCGGAUAGGAGCUCCUGCUGCAUGGUGGUGGUUGGAAAGUUUCGGCGGUUGUGGAUGGACUCGCGGCUUAUCAGCUUGUUGGUGGGGUAGUGGCUUACCAAGGCUUUGACGGGUAGCCGGCCUGAGAGGGUGACCGGCCACAUGGGGACUGCGAUAGGGCCCAGACUCCUACGGGAGGCAGCAGUGGGGAAUAUUGCACAAUGGGCGGAAGCCUGAUGCAGCAACGCCGCGUGCGGGAUGACGGCCUUCGGGUUGUAAACCGCUUUCGCCUGUGACGAAGCGUGAGUGACGGUAAUGGGUAAAGAAGCACCGGCUAACUACGUG